rnacentral:lncRNA from 1 species
UCAUACACAAUCAUCUGGUAUCUUCUAUGACUGAAGCUAUUAAAAAAAUAGUUAAUUUCAAACUGGUCCCUAUAUUAAAUUACAAAUAUAUUUCUACAAAAUUCAACUUUCAUAUUUUGUUCCUACAAAAGUUCUAAUAUUUUUGAAUAUAUCACUGCAGUUAGAAUCCGUUAGAAAGCUUAAGUUAACUAUAAAUUAAAUAUUUAAUUCUGAUUAGUUUGUAAGCUAAUUUGAAUAAAAAUUGUAAGUAUGGUUUGUAAUGUUAUACUACAAAAU